rnacentral:tmRNA from 1 species
GGGGCUGAUUCUGGAUUCGACGGGAUUUGCGAAACCCAAGGUGCAUGCCGAGGGGCGGUUGGCCUCGUAAAAAGCCGCAAAAAAUAGUCGCAAACGACGAAAACUACGCUUUAGCAGCUUAAUAACCUGCUUAGAGCCCUCUCUCCCUAGCCUCCGCUCUUAGGACGGGGAUCAAGAGAGGUCAAACCCAAAAGAGAUCGCGUGGAAGCCCUGCCUGGGGUUGAAGCGUUAAAACUUAAUCAGGCUAGUUUGUUAGUGGCGUGUCCGUCCGCAGCUGGCAAGCGAAUGUAAAGACUGACUAAGCAUGUAGUACCGAGGAUGUAGAAAUUUCGGACGCGGGUUCAACUCCCGCCAGCUCCACCA